rnacentral:rRNA from 1 species
AUGACUAAUGUCAUCGUUCCGAACGCCAAGAACGUCAGCGCCGCCGUGGCUCCGACAUUCUUUGCAGCCAUCGGCCGACCUGUCAACGCGACCAUCGAACACGCAUCCUCGGAUCCAGAUAGUCGCUUCAACACCGGGUGGACAAGUUUUUGGUGCGCGGUGCAAUUUCCAGUAUCAGACGUACUCUUUCAUCAACCGCCUGCCAAUUGUGCAACUGCAAGCCCGUUUGGACCAUUGCCUUCAUCAGUGCCACAACCAGUUGAAACAACCAAGAAAAUCCCCACCCGUGUGACUUUCUCUUCCUCCACGGCUGGGCCUCAUCCUUCUCCCUCCCUGCCGCCUUGGAGCUCCGGCGCCCCGCACUCCGUCUUGCCGGCCAGCGGCGGCUCUGGCAGGCAGCGCAAAGCCACCAGAUUCAUGGCCAAGUACGGUGCCCGUAAGGACGCCGCGCAAGUCCGGCCAUCGGCCACCUCGCCGCCGCCACAGCACUCCCCCGGCGCCACAGCAAGCUCGUUCGCCAGCCGCUCUCCACAGCUUCUCUUCUACCCCGGCGCCCCGACAAGAUCCUCGGCCAGCCCCUCGACACCGCCACACCUAUACCCGCCUCUCAUGGAAUCCUCCUCAGCCAACCCUACAUGGAGGCCGAUGUAUACCUCUGCACCUGAAGGCCUGCUAAGUUUUGGACAAGUACCGCCCAUGAAUCCUUACAAUUUUCAACCUCAGCCAAUGCACCAUCAUGAACAAGGAUACCAAAAUAUGGAGAAUUUGCACUUUGUUGGUGCUUCCCCACAUGAUCCCUUUUCAACACCACCGCCACCACCGCACUCUAAUGUUUCAUCUCAGUCUGCUCCCACCAAAGUUGAUUCAAAGAAAAAGAAAAGGAAGGUCAAGAGUGUAGAUGCCGACGAAUCGGGAGCAAGGACCGCAUAUCGUCUGCCCUAUACACCCGAGGAACAUGAGAGACUGGCAGGUGCUUGGCUGGAGUGUUCACUCAAUCCCAUUGAUGGGAACGGAAAGAAGUCUGAGCAGUUUUGGGAUGACAUUGCUGCUCUAUACAAUACUGCCACACCAAGUAACCGCACAAGUUGUUUGCGAAACAUCAAGAGGGAGCAAGAAAGGACGUGGAACGUGCAUUUGGUGUGUUUCGAUGAUGAACAAGAAGAGGCGGGAAAUAUUCUUGAUUUGAAUUAUGAAGCAGGCUCAUCGAUUGCCCUUCCUUCGGUAUUUACUCAUGGUGACAUACCAGAAUUUGCCGAGGUACUUGAAAGAGAUGUUAGAGUUCGUGAUCGUCCAACGCAUAAGGCUCUUAAAAAUGAUUUGAUUGAGCAUAUAUGGAGAAAGUUUGGGCGCGAAUAG